rnacentral:rRNA from 1 species
GCACGGGUGAGUAAUACAUAGGAACGUACCUAUAGGUGGGGAAUAACCACGGGAAACUGUGGCUAAUACCGCAUGUGAUUGCAAAAUCAAAGGAGGCCUCUUCUUGAAAGCUUUCGCCUGUAGAUCGGCCUAUGGCCCAUUAGCUAGUUGGUAGGGUAAUGGCCUACCAAGGCAUCGAUGGGUAGCUGGUCUGAGAGGAUGAUCAGCCACACUGGGACUGAGACACGGCCCAGACUCC